UGUACCACCUUGUCGGGUAGCUUAUCAGACUGAUGUUGACUGUUGAAUCUCAUGGCAACAGCAGUCGAUGGGCUGUCUGACAUUCUGGUAUC
ensembl:miRNA MIR21 microRNA 21